rnacentral:tRNA from 1 species
AGGAGUGUAGCUUAGUUAUUGGUAGAGCCCUGUGCUUAUAACGCAGUGGUCGAGAGUUCAAUCCUCUCCACUCCUA